CUUCCAUCUGUUGCAAAACUACCGGUUCCAAAAGAGGGAACAGAGACACCUCUCCCUGGGAGCCUGCGCCCGACAGGGGUCAGCGUGAUGGGUGGACAUGGACCGUCACCGUAGCUUUGAUGUUGAGACUGCCUGGGCAGGAAGAGCUGACCCACAGCCUGUCCCCUACUGAGCAGGACCCUGGCCCCAGCGAAGGCUCUGGCCUGGAAGCCUCCUCAGUGUCACGAGUGGCUUCUCCCAGCUGUCCCCCAGCCAGGAUCCCAGCCCCUUCCACCCUGCUGUCACAGGCUGGGGACCACAGGGCCACUGUGUCUGUUGCUGUCCAGCUAAUAUCAAGCCAUCUGGCGUGCUCCUUAAAUGGCAUUCCGGGGAGCAGCAGGCUGUCACCUCCGAAAACAAGCUUCUGAUGGAUUAUAACCGGCCUCACGCAGAGGGUGCUCCCAGGGUUCUCGCCCAUAUUGCAGAUGAGACUCAGAAGGCACUGUCACUCAGCCCCGUGUGGGGCCUGCCUGCGGACCAGGCCAGAUCCACUCCUCUCUAUCGCCUGGAAGCGACUGCAGCCUGCGUCACCACCUCCCGCGCUCCCUUCUGAGCGCAGGCUGAGCAGCUCGUAAAGCUCAGGAAGACACCUGCUUGUCACCCGCUCUCAGGCCAUCAGGGCUCGAUGCCCUGGGCCAGGAGGAGCUGUGUCUGCUGUGCUCUGGAGGAGGUGGCAGUCCCUGUUUUGCUCGGGGACCCCCGUGAUUCAGACAGGGCUGGCGGGCUGCGGGUAGCCCAGGGUUGGGCGCAUGGUGCUGGAGGUGGGUGAGAGGCUCCUCCCACAGGGCUGGGACACCAGAGACAGGGGCCCCCAGGUCCAGAAGACCACAGGAGGGUGCAGAGAGGCAGUAUGGAGGGCUGUGGCAGGGACCCCGGGGACUGGGUGGAGCUGCCCCAGGACGCAGGCCGGGGCUCCUUGGUCGCCUGACGACAGGCCUGUGGAACGAGGGCGCGGCGAUCAGGGCCAGGAGGCAGGCUCAGCGCAGCGGCUGCAGGAGGCCCUCUGUGGACCAGGCCAGCUCCUCCUCACCAAUCCCAGGGCCAGAGGAUAAAGGGAGCCGGGGACACCCAGAAGACCCACAGGACCAGCAGAGCCCCAGGGUGGCAAUGCCGUGCGUCCGCCACCCCCCAGGACGAAGGGCUCAGGCAGCCAUCCAGGAGGAGGAGGGGACUGUGAGCACCCACCGCAGGGCAGCCAGAGGGGCCACUGGCUUUCUCUAGCUCACCCUUGGGCAGGGCCCAGGGACGGGUCUCAGGGCAAAUGGGGCUCUGGUCCCGGCCCUCAGAGCAAGGGGCCUCCUCAGAGGGGCUGCCUCCACUGCAACGGUCCCCCUCAUGCAGCCUGGCAAGAGCCGUGAGAGGAGACAGGCCCAACAGGAGGGCUUCCUGGAGGAGGUGACGUCUGAGCUGACCCGGGAGGGAGGAGCAGGGUGUGGGAGUGGUGUGGCCAGAAGGGACACCAGGGGACAGCAGCAGUCCCUGGAAGCAUGUCCUUCUCUUUCUGCAUCCCUGGGUCAGUUGGGGUGGGGGUGGCCCACCAGCCCCAGGCCGCGGGUGUCCCAGCAGGGCCAGCUCUUCUCCUGACAGUGACGCAGCACAGCCUUUGCACAGUCACCACUGCAAAAUCCUGUUGGCCAACGGGAGUCACGAGCCAAGUGCACGCUGGGGACCAGGACAGAGGCUCUUCCACCACGAGGUCCCAGGUGAGGGGUGGAAACGUGAUGUCCUGCCAUGGAGGGCGGGGCUACGGCCAGGAGUGGGGCCAGGGCUGCCUCGUCCUCUCCCCAGUGACUCAGGGAAGCACCCACCAGCUCCACCGUGGGUUCAGGGGGUCCCACGAGGGUGGUGCUGGGCGUGGAGUCAUGGGCAGUCUUCACCCCUCACUCUACAGCCUGCUUCCCGGGGCGUGCCAGGCAUCAGAGCAGACCCGGCCACGGCACCAGGAACAGCCGCAGGAGGAGGCGCAGCCCCAGCCAAGAGGCCACAGAAGGACCAGGCCUGACUCCCCAGGGACCACAGGAGGGUCAGGAUGCCCUGGCCAGGUCUGCAGGAGCCCAGCCAGGCCGAGCACACACGGGCUCAGCCACCUCCUUCCUGCCUGCCCCCAGGCCCAGCCCCAGCAGCCCCGCCAGCAAGCCUCGUUCCAGUAAUCCACACGAUGAUGCCACAUAAAAAGAUUGCUUUCCCGGAAAACUGCUGACACUCGGGUCUGGGAAAGAGAGGGCUUACGAGAGAUGGGCUCCCAAUCCAUACAGGGCUCGACGCUCAGACCUUAAUCAAUCUGCAUCCCUCGGAGCUAAAACAGUUGUGAUUUAUGAAAUCCACAAGUCAGAUCUCUCUGUCCCCCCUGUAUUACCAACAGCAAAGAGGAGCUCUCUCCUGACAGCACCCCCCCCCGCCACUUUGAGACCCUCCUAGGGACAUGCGUGGGGUCCCAGCCCUCACACACUGGCCACAAAUGGGACACAGGCAAAGAAGCACCUGCUUCUCCCGAGGGCCCAGGACUCAGGAGCUUCUAGCUCAAAGCAAAGGGCAGGACAGGCAGCUGGUCAGUCUCUCCCUGGCCUGCGGACUUACUUUUCUGCCCCUGCUGCUUGUGUCCUGGGGUUCACUUCAACUAACUUCUCCUGAAUCCUCUUGCAAACCUGUGGGCACCUGGACUUCCUGGCAAACCUGGGGGCCAGGGAGGACAGCCCGACAGGUGGGAGAACAAACACUCAAAACCGGGCAGAGGGUAGAUUCUAUGUCCCGUGUGCCUUAUGACAAUAAAACCAAAUCAAUGUUUUAACAACAAAAACCCAACCAAGACCCCCUCUGCCAGCUGUGUGUGGGG
rnacentral:lncRNA from 1 species